rnacentral:rRNA from 1 species
UACGGAGGGGACUAGCGUUGUUCGGAAUUACUGGGCGUAAAGCGCACGUAGGCGGAUCGAUCAGUCAGGGGUGAAAUCCCGGAGCUCAACUUCGGAACUGCCUCUGAUACAGCACGUCUUGAGUCCGAUAGAGGUGGGUGGAAUUCCUAGUGUAGAGGUGAAAUUCGUAGAUAUUAGGAAGAACACCGGUGGCGAAGGCGGCC